rnacentral:hammerhead_ribozyme from 1 species
AUCCAGCUGACGAGUCCCAAAUAGAACGAAACGCGCAUCCUAGAU